CAACUCGACUACAUGAGGCUGGAAUCGCUAGUAAUCGCAGAUCAGAAUGCUGCGGUGAAUACGUUCCCGGGCCUUGUACACACCGCCCGUCACACCAUGAGAGCCGGUAAUACCCGAAGUCAGUAUCCUAACCGCAAGGAGGGAGCUGCCGAAGGUAGGAUUGGCGAUUGGGGUGAAGUCGUAACAAGGUACC
rnacentral:rRNA from 1 species